GUUGUGGAAAGGGCAGCGUGUUCCACUCUCAAUGCUGAGGCACAGCAGCACAAAUGGCACGAGAAAUCAUCUUUGGAGGCAUCAAAGUUGACACAGAUCUGUGAAUCCCACUGGUGACGAGCCAAAUUUAGGUCAAAAAGGCAACUGACACCAUCUUCUGCGAAACAUCUCUAAAAUAUUUAUGAAGGAUGCUUUCCAGUUUAAAGAUUAAAAGCUCUUUAAAAUUCAA